rnacentral:rRNA from 1 species
AGCGAACGCCGGCGGCGUGCCUAACACAUGCAAGUCGAACGUGAAAAGGGAAACCUGAGUUACGUGGCCUACGGGUGAGUAACGCGUAGGUAAUCUACCCCAGUAUGUGGCAUAACCUGCCGAAAGGCGGGCUAAUACUGGAUAGAGCGUGGGACCUCGUAAGAGUGUUUUUCGGGAAAGGGAGCCUGCAAAGGCCCUCGUUCUGCGAUACGCCUGCGUCUCAUUAGCUAGUUGGUAAGGUAACGGCUUACCAAGGCGAUGAUGAGUAGCUGGUCUGAGAGGAUGAUCAGCCACACUGGGACUGAGACACGGUCCAGACUCCUACGGGAGGCAGCAGUAGGGAAUCUUGCGCAAUGGACGAAAGUCUGACGCAGCAACGCCGCGUGAGUGAAGAAGGCUUUCGGGUUGUAAAGCUCUGUCGGAUGGGACGAACAGCUGCAUAGUGAAUAGCUAUGAGGUGUGACGGUACCAUAAAAGGAAGCACCGGCUAACUCCGUG